rfam:Sorghum bicolor cultivar BTx623 chromosome 8, whole genome shotgun sequence.
GUAGUCGGAUUCACAUCAAUUCACAUGUGUUGAGGUGGAUUGAAGUGAAACUUGAACUAAAUUCCACACCUCAAUCCACAUCAACACGCAUAGAUUGAAGUUAAUCCGACA